ACUGUUCAUCUUCUUUUUGACAUGCUCUCUUUCCAUCGUCCUUAGCUUUUGUUUGUUGUGAGCUGUUUUGGCUUUCUCCUAUACCUCUGGGGGAUGCCAAGUGAUGGUUUUGAUAGGCUGGUGAUGGCUGUGAGCGAGAGUUUGCCGAUCGGCGUCGUCCUCGCUGUAGCGAUGAAAAUACUAGUUACUGCGCAUCUGGCAGAUAUCACAACACAUCGGAGCGUCCAGGAGCAAAGGAAUCUUGGGUUUUCACUGGAAUCUAGUUCCUCCAGCAUCGUGUAGCCCACCGUCGGUGAAUGGCGGUCCAGAAAGGUCGAACCUGGUCUUCUGCAGCACCUCGCAGUCCUGCGAGGCACACCGUGUACGCCUGCCAUGUAUUGUACAAAUAUAACUCAUGCAGUAGUGGACUCUACAGUGAUGAGUCUCAGCCUGUAUGCUGCAAAAGACACAGGAAAUGUGACUGGUGUCUGUACACUCAGUGACUGGACGCCAACACCCCAGUCUUCUCCUGCAGGAUCUGUUUGACAUUGACAUUAUGCAGUAGGUCGGCAUUGACCUGGUUUGGCAGCUAUCGUAAUAGUAUCUGCCUGGUUGGAUGUAGCAGGUUGGCGUUUGCUCGUCGUCCAGUCCGGAAUUUUCUUGUAACUCACGGUGGAGUACGCGCAGGGUUUGUGAUCAUCCCUGUUCACUUCAAUAUUAUCAAACACAACGUUCCCUUUGUCACUCAUCUUAUCCUAAGUACUGAAUUUGCUGACAAUAUUGCACCACACUUGUCACAACCUACCGCCACUGCUGGCGGUGGCGACUUGUUCGUCAAUGGCGGUGACCAGGCUGACUGACUAGCUUCGAGACAGCGGCCUCGUUGUCAACCCCGCGACAGCCUUAAGGUUGAUUUUAUUCAUCCAGCCUCAGCGCCAUGUUGACGAUGCCCUAGUGACUGUGUAUUAUGGAUUGCCUUGCCAUCAGCGGUCAUUGCCGUCCACCUUGGUGCAGCCCUCAACAACUGGCUCAGCCCAUGGGAGUCUCAAGUGGACAAAGUUGUUGCCAAAGUAGCUCAGAAGAUUGGUGCAUCGUGGUGUAGCACUGCAAGGCCGGCAGCUGGACCGACUGCAGGGGCCGCGCACAUGCAGGCCGCCUGUUGCCAGUGCAGCAUUCUGGAACGUUCCUUCCUUCUGAGAUCCGUGGAAUAAUAACGUUCUUUGCUUCAAAGCAAGUUGCUUACCUUUCUGUUGUGCUCCCAGUGUCCUUACAACAAUAACCUACAACAAUGUUUUAUUUUCCUUUCCAUUCCCCAACCAAUGAAUACUACAAUGUCGAUUUUAUUUCUGAAUACUUUAGUGUGUGCCCGCGCACGCACGUGUGUGUGUAUACCUCACUCGCCACUCGAAGUUCUGUUCCCCAUUACUGGAACACUGCCUGUUCUUUCAGGACCUGCCAUCAUCUGCGGAUGGGCAUUCAAUGAUUGUAUUGUGUGUGUGUGUGUGUGUGUGUGUGUGUUUCAUUCAGAAUCAGAUCCGCUAUCGUUGCUAUAAGAGAAAAUCUGUGGGUUCACAUCCAGUGCAUUGUAGAUUUGCGUGCUUUUCUCGCCACGGGCGCAUACAUGGGACAUUGUGUGUGUGUGUGUGUGUGUUGUGUGCGUCUGUGUGUAUGGGGAUAUUGUCUGUAUCGGCUUUUUGUACUAAUGUUCAGGUCUGUGCUUGCAUGUGUGAACAUGAAAUUGUUCGGUUCUGUGCAUGCUAUUGCUAUGUUGCAUAUUAUUGUAUGUAUGUGAGCAUUUCCACGAAGUGUAGAUGAGCGUGGAGAGUGCAUUCAUCCCUCAUCAACCACUUCCCCUUGGGCUUACGAGAGUUUUUUCUGCGUACUCUCAUUUUUGUUUGUUUCUUUCUGAUACUGUAUUGAUGCCGGUACCUGUACCUCGAUGUGUUCCUCUAUCUGCAGUCGCCUUUAUCCUUCGGUCAAGUUAACGUUUAUUGUGCUCUAUUUAUCGUGCGAAUCAAAAUAAACAAUAAUAACACAA